AAAGGUAAGCUACUAAGAGCGAAUGGUGGAUGCCUUGACUGGUAAAGGCGAUGAAGGACGUACUAGACUGCGAUAAGCUACGGGGAGCUGUCAAGAAGCUUUGAUCCGUAGAUUUCCGAAUGGGGCAACCCAAUGUAUAGAGAUAUACAUUACCUAUAUAGGAGCGAACGAGGGGAAUUGAAACAUCUUAGUACCCUCAGGAAAAGAAAUCAAUAGAGAUUGCGUCAGUAGCGGCGAGCGAAAGCGUAAGAGGGCAAACCCAGUGCUUGCACUGGGGGUUGUAGGACUGCAAUGUGCAAGAGGUGAGUUUAGCAGAACAUUCUGGAAAGUAUAGCCAUAGAGGGUGAUAGUCCCGUAUGCGAAAAACAAACCUUAGCUAGCAGUAUCCUGAGUAGGGCGGGACACGAGAAAUCCUGUCUGAAGCUGGGUCGACCACGAUCCAACCCUAAAUACUAAUACCAGAUCGAUAGUGCACAAGUACCGUGAGGGAAAGGUGAAAAGAACUGAGGUGAUCAGAGUGAAAUAGAACCUGAAACCAUUUGCUUACAAUCAUUCAGAGCACUAUGUAGCAAUAC
rnacentral:rRNA from 1 species